GAUGAAGAACGUAGCGAAAUGCGAUACGUAAUGUGAAUUGCAGAAUUCAGUGAAUCAUCGAAUCUUUGAACGCAUAUUGCGCUCUCUGGUAUUCCGGAGAGCAUGCUUGUUUGAGUAUCAGUAAACACCUCAACUUCCAUAUCUUUUUUGAAAUGGGAGUUGGACUUGAGUGAUCCCAACGCUUUUCCUCACCGAAAAGUGGCGGGUUACUUGAAAUGCGGGUGCAGCUGGACUUUUCUCUGAGCUAUAAGCAUAUCUAUUUAGUCUGCCUAAAAAACAGAUUAUUACCUUUGCUGCAGCUAACAUAAAGGAGAUUAGUUCUUGUGCUGACUGAUGCAGGAUUCACAAAGACAGCUUCGGCCGACUUUGUAAACUCGAUCUCAAAUCAAGUAAGACUACCCGCUGAACUUAAGCAUAUCAAUAAGCGGAGGA
rnacentral:misc_RNA from 1 species